rnacentral:other from 19 species
GUUCACCGCCGCACAGGCGGUUUAGAAA